GAUGUCUGGCCGAAUGCAAAAGCAUAACUAUUAUUCCGUCACGUGAAGAGAGAGGAAGUGAAAUUGGGAACAUUUUUCACACGGAGUUUAAAAACAAAGGUGAUACAGGUCCUUCUUUGGAACCAGAGGCAGACGAAACAAGAUCAGGCUCCGGGAGGCAAUGGAUUCAUUUAUGGAAACUUAUCACGUAUUUGGUAUUUCCAUAUCAGAGAGGUAAGUUUUCCUAGUUUUAGCUUCACGCACAUCGCAC